GAUCAAACGCUGCAAGGUUCUACUACAGGUUCCAGCUGUCCUCCCUGCUAAAGGCCUGAAGAAAAUGACUAGGGCAGCCCUAGCAGAGCUCUGAGGCUGGAUCUGCACGCCAAGCAGUCGGGAACCCAGCUGGGGAUGUGGAAAAGGUGCGGUGCGUGACUAGAGCCAGGCCCGUUCCCUGGGUGCCGAGCCAGGCUGUGCUCACUCUGAGCCCACAAACGCCAUGUUCUGUGCUGCAGAAGCAGAGACCGCAUGUCAUAGAUGCUCUGAGGGUCCAGUCCCGGGGCCCUUGGGUAACUUCCAUGACUCCCUCCCCACCUGGGGCCUGGGUCUUGGGAUAGGUUCCUUCUACUGUGUAACAGAUUACCCCAAACAUCAGGCAGCUAAAAACAAAAAUCUCAUGCUUGCUGUGGGCAGAAUUCACUUCCGAGGCCUUGUGUCAUUCCAUGACACAAGGCACUGGACUCCACCACAGUGAGCAGAUCUCAGGGCAAGUGUACUCAUUAGCCUUCCUGUCACUGGGCAUAUGUACCAGAUACCCACAAAUUAAGGGAGGAGAGGUUCUCUUGGCUCACGGUUUCUGAGGGUUCAGUCCAGGGUAAUCUGGCUCCAAGCCGAAAGGACCUGGUGGAGGAAAGCUGGUCACUGCAGAGAGAGAGGGAGGAGCCAGGGACAGAACACAGCCUUCCAGGUCACACCCCAGUGACCACCUCCAAACAGGUCCCGUCUCCUAACAGCAGAGUCAGCCACGAGCUCAUCCCAGGGUGAAUCCACUGAUACGUAUACUCCCUCUGUGAUCCAAUCACUUUCCCCAAACCCCACCUCGGAACACAUGAGACCUUUGUGGGACAUAUUUUAUCCAAACCAUAACAGUGAGCAGGACAGAAGCCUCAUGACUUGUAAUGACAAGACUCUCCUUGCCCUCAAGGCCUUGACCUUGGGCUCUGUCUUUGGCCUGCUUAUUGUAGUUCCAGGAUGAUUCCUGCUGAGUCUGUUUACCAGAAUUCCCCUGGUCCCUCAUGGUUCCUCCUUGUAAUUUUCUGUCCCUGACCCCUAACCUGUUCCUUGGCCAUAAAUCCCUACUGGGCCUUGUUAAAUUCAGAAUGGAGCCAGGCUCCAUGCCAUACUCUCUCUUGUCCUAGUGAAACAGUUCCUAGUUGGGCCUGUAAUCCCAACACUGUAGGAGACUGAGACAGGAAGAUCAGGAGUUUGAGAUCAGGCUGGGAAGCAUAGUAUAUUAUGGAGAAUGUGUCUCAAAGUAAAUAACAACAGCAAUAACUACUACUUCUACUUCUACUUCUCCUUCUCCUUCUCCUUCUCCUUCUACUUGUACUUCUACUCCUCCUCCUGCUGCUGCUGCAAUGUGAAAGCCCUGGUUUCAGUCUCCAGUACCGCACACGCGCGCGCACACACACACACACACACGCA
ensembl:lncRNA